rnacentral:rRNA from 1 species
AGUGAACGCUGGCGGCAGGCCUAACACAUGCAAGUCGAACGGCAGCACAGUAAGAGCUUGCUAUUACGGGUGGCGAGUGGCGGACGGGUGAGGAAUACAUCGGAAUCUACUUUUUCGCGGGGGAUAACGUAGGGAAACUUACGCUAAUACCGCAUACGACCUACGGGUGAAAGCAGGGGAUCGUCGGACCUUGCGCGAUUGAAUGAGCCGGUGUCGGAUUCGCUAGUUGGCGGGGUAAAGGCCCACCAAGGCGACGAUCCGUAGCUGGUCUGAGAGGAGGGGCAGCCCCCCUGGAACUGAGACGCGACCCGGACCCCUCUGGGAGGGAGCAGAGGGGAAUGUUGGACAAUGGACUGAAGCCUGACCCGACCAUGCCGCGUGGGGGACGAAGGGCUUGGGGUUUUAAAGCUCUUUUGUUGGGAAAGAAAAGCAACGUGUUAAUCCCCCGGUGUUCUGCCGGUACCGAAUGAAUAAGCACCGGCUAACUUCGUG